rnacentral:rRNA from 1 species
UACGUAGGUGGCAAGCGUUGUCCGGAAUUAUUGGGCGUAAAGCGCGCGUAGGCGGGACUGUAAGUCUGUUGUGAAAUUGCGGGGCUCAACCCCGUAUUGGCAAUGGAAACUAUAGUUCUUGAGUGCAGGAGAGGAAAGCGGAAUUCCCAGUGUAGCGGUGAAAUGCGUAGAUAUUGGGAGGAACACCAGUGGCGAAGGCGGCUUUCUGGACUGUGUCUGACGCUGAGGAGCGAAAGCCAGGGGAGCGAACGGG